rnacentral:rRNA from 1 species
UACGUAGGUGGCAAGCGUUGUCCGGAAUUAUUGGGCGUAAAGCGCGCGCAGGCGGUCCUUUAAGUCUGAUGUGAAAGCCCACGGCUCAACCGUGGAGGGUCAUUGGAAACUGGGGGACUUGAGUACAGAAGAGAAGAGUGGAAUUCCACGUGUAGCGGUGAAAUGCGUAGAUAUCGGGAGGAACACCAGUGGCGAAGGCGACUACCUGGCCCAUUCUUGACGCUGAGGCGCGAAAGCUAGGGGAGCGAACGGG